UGAACCGUAGAAGGCAGGCAUUCUCCAAAUACAAGAAUUUGCAAAUACGGCUGUAAGUCGUUUUAAUCUUGAUACUGCAUGCAAAUUACAGUAUUUGUACAGAAAGAGAUAAAGGCAUUUGUAUUCAUAUACAAGAGGUGGUUAUGUUUGACUGUUACAUCAUUUGGAAACGCAGCAGGAAGAAAAUAUAUCUGACCGCUUGGGUUGCGUCGUCCAAAAGCUACACAUUAAAUUCUCCCACAAUGCAACACCACGACGUGCGCCAUCCAGUGGCCAAUGGAUGAGACAACUGGUUUCAAGGGAGGUAACUGUCUACAUCCCUGCCUCCUUGCAAGACUCGAAGUCGGAACUAAAGAACGGGUCACCAUUUUUAGGAACUUUUGCUCCUAACAAAGAAAGCUGAAAUGUAGAAGGCAGACAUUCUCCAAAUACAAGAAUAAAAGGAUGAUAAGAACUUGCAAAUAUGGCCCUUAUAUUGAACCAUCAACAUCACAUUUUGCUUCAUCCAAAUUUAAUUUCUCUCUCUGAAGAAUUUCUAAUAGAAAAUUCCUUAGAUGUCUAUCCUGUAAAACUUUAUAGUUGCUAUUAGCAAACGAAACACAUGUAAUGGUGAAUAAAUAGUCCCAAGAAAUUACCAAUUUUCUGUUUUGUUAUACAAUAACUCUGCAAAUAUUUCCAUAAUACUCAAUUUUAAUAUGUAUUUUGCAGUAACACAGAAGCAGCAACUGAGACUAUAUACUGGAUUAUAACAAAUAUGAUAUGCAGUUUUCAAUCCUCUUCAAUUCAACAUUGUCCUCAAAGCCAUGACAGAGAAGCAGAUGUGCUUCAAGAGGAAACAGCUGGGAUUUACCCUACCUACCUACAUAACAUAUAAACAUAACCUUUCUUUUAACUUUCAUGAUCUGGUCCAGCAAUUUGAUACCUUUAUAAUUACUUCUGUCUAAGGUGUCUCCCCUAACUGUUUAAAGAGAAGUAAUAAAAGGUAUCAAAUUGCUGGACCAAGUCAUGAACAUUAAAGGAAGGGUUAUAGCUCAACUAAGUAGGAAAAGAGUUAGCCUAGAUGAGAUGCAGUUGGGUUUUUUUGCCAAGGGGAAGUAUUAUCGAUUCUAUCUUCCUAGUCAGGCAACUGCAGAAGCAUUUAGCCAAAAAUGGAGGAAGCCUUUGACAGGGUCCCUCAUUCUCCUGUAUAGCAGUCACUGCAGAAGGUAGGGGUAGAUGAAUGAGUGGUGUGAGUCAUCCAAGCCAUGUAUAGUAAGGUGAGAGUUAGCAACAAAUAUGAUGUGCAGGUAGGAGCUCACCAUAACUGUUCUCAGUCCUCUUCUAUUCAAUAUUGUCCUCCAGGGCAUGACCGUUUAUCCUUGAUGACUUUGUUCUUAUUGCUGUAUCAAUAGUAGAAUUAGAGAAUCAAUUCCAGGAGUGGAAGUAAAAUUUGGAAUCAAAGGGCCUUAGAGUUAACAUAGCAAAGACCAAAGUACUAGUAAGCAGGGAAGCAAACAAAUUACUUAUCUGCAGGAAAAUGGUUCUGCUUGAUAUAUAGAAAAAGUGUGCAUAGAAAUUCUAUAAUGUGUACCUAGCACAAUUUAUGGGCACAUAAAAGGUGCAGUGAAAUCGCAAGGUUUAUAGAGAAAGUAGUCUUUGUGUGUGGCAGAUGAGCAGGAACAAUAAACACUAAGAACACAGGAAAUAGAUUCCGUCAAAUGCCCAGGAUGAUCCUUAGAGGUAAUAGAUAGUUUCUGUUACCUAGGUGACCUAAUUAGCAGAGGAUGAUGAUGCUCUGAAAGUGUAGUUGCCUAGAUAAGAAUCAGAUGGAGUUCAGAGCUACUAACUCUCCCUCAGCAUGAAAGGCAGACUGUAUAAUGUUUGUGAAUGAACAGCAAUGCUACGUAGUAGCGAAACAUGGGCUGUGAAUGUGGAGGACAUGUGAAGGCUUGGAAGAAAUAGAGCUAGCAUGCUCAGUUGGAUGUGCAAUGUCAGUGUGCAUAUGCAACAAAGAACAAAUAUAUUAAUAUGAAAAUUGGGCCUAAGAGGAAUCAAAUGUAGCAUGCAAGACAGAAGACUGUGCUAGUAUGGUUAUGUGAUGCAUAUGGUUGAGGAUCACUGCAUAAAGAAUACUAAUAGCUAAAUGUAGAUGGAACUAAUAGAAGAGGGGAAAUCAGAGAAAUCCAGGAAGAUGUGGGGUGAAGUAGUGAAGGCUGAUUUCCAGAUAUUGAGCCUCAAGGAAGAAAUGAUAAAGGACUGAUUCCUUCCAUAACUUGUUUCUAACACCCAUCUGUUUUUCACCCUCUGACAACAGAAUUACUCACUCAGCUGCUGUAAUUAUGAGAUCACUUCUAUAUGUUCUCAGUACUGCUCCUUAAUCUUGUCAAUAGCAGAUCUCCCCUAUUAUCUCCAUCUCCCAUUUCUACCCCCAUGUAACUAACUUGCUUCUAGCGCUGUGCAUCUCUUGCACACCACCCCAACUCUACAUCAUCUUCCUGUCAACUAAAUUUGUUUUUCAUCACACCAUAAAAACUUAGAACUUCCCAGUUGGUUCAAAACCAAGAUAUGAAAGUUUCAAAACAUGCACAUUUCACUAAAAUUCUCAUUAAAAAAAUGUAACAAUUGCAUCAAAUAUAAUUUCAUAAAGGUAGCAUGCAAACAGAACCUAUAUUGUACUAAAAGUUGUAUUGCGAAUGUUCAAAAAGCAGUUUUUUUCUAGAAAAGAAGGAAGGCUUCUGAAAUCUCCAUGCAGUCUAAUGGUAAACUGAGGUUUUAACUGUAUUCAAAUGCAAUUGUAUGACUAGUUUUCAGACGUACAAUUUGUGAAUCUUUGGAGGAGCCAUUAGAUGUGCUAAACUGUCUAUAUCUGUGCUUCAUUUCUGAAGAUUUCAACAUUGAAGAGUUACAUGUAUCACAACCAACAGCAACAAUAGGAAGAGGUAAAUUCAAUGCUUUAAUGGUAAUGGUAAGGCAUAAUCUACUAACGAAGCUGUAGAUGGUGCAUCAGCUAUUGGUUGGUUGAAAGAAAGGUGCACUUGUAUUAUUGUGUGAAGAAAUUGUUUCAAAUUUAAAACCAUAUCACUACAUAAUACACCAAGAAUCUUUUGAAUUUCAAAUGUACUUAACAAGCGAGAAUUUCAUAUAUGCAAAGCAUGGCAAUCUCUUACUUUACACUGAAGUUAGAUGAUUGUUGUAUAGCAUGUUUUAGGAAGACUCAAUGGUUGUUUACCACAAAUAAGCAUAGCAUUGAAUCUUCUGAAUGAUUUUAAGUACAGAUAACGUUAUCUUACUGAUGUCACAGUAAAGUUUGAAGAACUAAACAAGAACCUUCAAAAAACACCUUUUCCAUUGGUAUGUGACAUGAUUUACCUUAUGAAUUUAAUGAAAAGUAAAUUGAUGCUAGGUGGAGAAAGGUACUGUUACAGACUUACAUGGAAAAUGCAGUGUCAUUUAUGUCGUGUAAAGCAAAUGUAGAAACUGAAAUAUUUGCACCACACUGAUAGAAAUUACAAAACAGUGCACCAAAGAAAAAUACUACAGUGCCUCAGUUAAACAGUUUUGGAUGUCAGUGUGAAGGGAAAGAUUUCCAAUUCAGAAGAUUAGAGUAUGGGAUUAGUGAUAAGUAAUACAUGUAUGAUAGUAAAUGGUCACAGUGGAGAAUAGUAUAUUCAGAAGAAUCUGGACACUUUUACAGGUGAGGCGUAUACUUUCUUGUCCAUUCAACAAUAUCCAUAUGAAACAAGGAGGUAGAUACAGUCAAAGUAGAGCAACUAUCAAAGCCAUGCACAAAGAAACAUAACCCAACAAGAGAGCAUAUGGUAGAUCCAUCUGUUAGAAAUAGCAAUUUGCUUAAACCCCUAACACUUUUGGAAAAGGAAUGAAUACAUUAGCAUCCUAUAUGUUCCUCUCCUGACACGUAAAAGCACCCACUACACUUUCUGAGUGGUUGGCGUUAGGAAGGGCAUCCAGCUGUAGAAACUCUGCCAAAUCAGACUGGAGCCUGGUGUUGCCAUCCGGUUUCAC